GUCGCUUUAGCUCAUUUGGGAGAGCGCCAGACUGAAGCAAUCCGCCUUCGGGCGGCAAACUUUGGUUCGCAUCGAACGAGACAUCUGGAGGUAGUGUGUUCGAUCCACACAAGCGACA